UUUCUGUGGCUUUGCCAUCUGUUACAGUAAUUACUUCCACCUUGACUAUCAAUGUUAUGGCCUGGUCUCUAAUUUUUAAAAGAAUUCAGGUCAGGCAUGAUGGUGCACACCUGUAGUCCCAGCACUUGAAAGGCUGAGGCAGGAGGACUGACAGGAGUUCGAGGUCAGUCUGGGCUACAUGGUGAAUUCAAGAUCAGUCUGCACUAUAUUGGAGACCGUGUCUCACAAAAACAAAAACAAGAAAACGAAACUUCUGCAUCUCCCCAGCGCUGUGCAUGACCUUAGUCUGGUCCCGGCUCCUUGUCCCUACCUGUCUUAGUAGGAGCCACACGCCGGCCUCUGCAGCAGCGCAGCCGCAGGUAACUUCGUCUCCCAUCUCUAGCUUCUGCCCUCUACAGUGCUCUGCCACGGUGACCUUGAAGCUGCAAGGAGAGGGGAGCCAGCUCUGGCAGCGGGGGCAGGUGACUGCCUGGACACCGGACCCCAGGCCCAGGGGAGAGUCCAAGACCAACAGCGCCCCCAUCAGGGUUUGAAAGGCGACCCACAAAACCCAGUAACCUCCUGAGCCCUUGUGACCUCUGUCACGCUGUCAUAGCCAUUAAGAAUUUGGCGAGUCUCACUAACCGCAGAGGCUGAAGCAAGAACCUGAGUACCACGAAAGCGGCUCGUGGGCAGACAGUGGAGCCCAGCGCUGUGCUCGCCUGGCAUGCACAAGGCCCGGGGUUCACUUCCCAGCACAGCAAGGAAAUACAUCCAAGACCUCAGUGCGCAGCCGUGGGGAUGGGUGCACCUUGAGACCAUAUCGUUAAGGGAAAUAAAUGAGACGUGCAAGCUGAAA